AAUUCAUUUCAACUUACGUUGACUCGCUCGAACCCGUAGAUCCGAACUUGUGUGUGAAUUCACCCCAAAUUCAUAAUUGAUGACAUCACAAGUACGAUUCUAAGGGUCCAAGCUGAUCGACGCCAUCAGUUUUCCCCCAU
rnacentral:precursor_RNA from 11 species